CUGCAAUGAUGACAUCUUAGGAGACCUUCAGAUAAACCAUGAAACUAACCUUUGAACCUGAGCAGC
ensembl:snoRNA SNORD58 Small nucleolar RNA SNORD58